rnacentral:tRNA from 1 species
GGCGUAGCUGGUGUGGCUGUAGGCGGUGCCGCUGGUGACGGCGUUGACGUUGGUGACCGUGCCGCUGUUCGAGCCCACCGCGACGCCU